CGGGUUUUAAUGAAAAUGGUUGAGUUUAUUGUGAGUGGAGAAAUAGUCCCACUAAAAAGAUAGUAUUGAUAAUAAUAAUUAAAUGUAUUGUGAAUGGGGAUAAGGGGCCCACCAUGUGAUAGAAAGUUGUCAAAAGUGAAAAGAGACUAAUUUUUGUGGAAGUCCCAAAAUUGCAAAAAGAGACUAUUUUUUGUGGACUGAGGGAGUAUAACGAAUUAUAACUAAUUAUACAUCGUUAUGGCCUUGAUGUGCCCCCACAGAUUCUUCGCAUCCAGAUUCUCGCAUUUAUGGAUCCGGAGAUGUUUGAGGUGCGGCAUUCCACCUUCUUCUAUAUCGAUACUUCUCAACUCAGACAUGUUCCGGAGGGAGAGGCCCUCGAGGCGGGGGAACCCGUCACGCAACACUUUCAUGCUCCGAUGCUCGUAAGCAUAUUCAGAUAACUUGAGAUACUGCAGCUUCGGCAGCUUACCCAAUUCCGGCAUCGGAUCCUUAAUUAGCUUUGCAUACUCCAACGUAAGGUGAGUAAGAUUUGGAGGGAAUUUACUCGCAUCCGGACAUCCAUGCAUCUUACCGUGUAGUUUGAGUUUUGUGAUGCUGCCGAGCUGGGGAAUGAUGUUUGAGUUGAACGACAAUGAGUUGCAUUUUAGGUGUAGUUCCACAAGAUUCGUCAUCUUCUCCAACGAUGCUCUCGCCAUGCUCAAAUCCUUAUUUCCUUCCAUUCCAUUCAUAUGUAUUCCCAAUUCGCGAACACGACAACUUGCCAUUAGUUUUGAGCUGCAUUCUAGCCAAUCCUUUAGCCUCAUGCCUUUCACACUCUCAAUAUUUUUCCAAUUCUCGAUGCUCAUUGGUUUGCCCAAGACGCUGUAUAGUGGAAGUGACGAGUUUUUCCAUUUCCAGUGCAACAUUCGGGAACACUAUCACCUCUUCUCUACGUCAAGCACCUCGAGGUUUUUCAAGUCCUUCAACCAGCUUGGGAGCUUCAAUACGUAACGCAAGAAAUACCGUUGUCUAUGUAUUCUCAAGUACUUCAAUCCAAUCAAUAGCCGAAAAGAGUCGGGCAAUCUCUGAAACGCAAAGCCGUCAAGGUCGAGCAUCUUAAGGAGUUGAAAGCUCUUCCAGUAGUCAGAUGGAGUAGUCAUAUAAACAUUUCCAUCACCAUUGAGAUUAAAUAGGAAAAGAGAGCGAAGAUGCUUAUUCUGAUUUGUCGAGCGAUUCUCAAUAUUUUUGCCAUAGACAACACGAUGACGAGGUUUAUACGAGGAUUGUGAUGAAAAACCCUCCUCCCCCUUUACAAUCUCCAAGCCUAUUUCCUCCUUUGCUUUUCUUAAACAUACCUCGCGAAGAAGAUCAUGGAGGCGACAAGUCCCUACCCGAUUAUCAAUGGUUAGAUCCUCAACUUGAAGCAUGCUUCGAUUGAUCAACUCAUUUAAAUAACCUCUUGCUAUCUCAUUUGUUGUUCUGGUUCCUUCCUGUUGGAUCAAGCCUAGUCCAACCCAUAUAUUUAUCAGCCUUUUUGCCGGUAUAGUAAAGUCUUCCUUGAAAAAAGCUAGACACAAGAAGCAUGAUUUUAGUUGCGGAGACAAAUUGUGAUAACUCAACUCCAAAAUUGUUGGUACGCUGCUUUCAGUCCUUCCUAAAUAAGAGUUAAUUUGGUUAAGAACUUGUUCCCACCCACUCUUGCUUUGUGUUUCCACAAGUAGGCCUCUUACCACACUAAUAGCUAAUGGUAGACCACGACAUCUUUCCACGAUUUGUCUGCCUAUGGUCUCAAACUCUUCUGGAUAUUUUCCAUUAGCAUUUCUAAUGAAUGCAUUCUUCAAGAGCAAUUCCCAGCUCUUCUCGCGAUCGAGAAGCUUCAUCGUGUGCACAUAUUGAUCAUACUUUGUAAUAAUCUUGUUGCGAGUUGUAACCAAUAAUCUACUCCUUUUAUCUGUGAGAGAAGAGGUAAUUAAGUAUAAGAACAUGAGUUGAGAGAUGAGUGAUUCAUAUUCGUUCACCAAGAACAUGAAUGCCACUUGAAGAAUCAAUCCUGUAUAUAUAUAUAAAUUCUACUAAGUGCUUGUUUGGUCCAAGUAGAUGAAUGGAAAGGGAAUAUGUACAAGUAAAGGGAGAGAAUGAUAACAAUAACUAUUGUUUUUAUUGAGUGUUUGGUUUAACAAUGGAAAUGAAUCAUUAAUAAGAGGAUUCACUUUCUUUUAUUUCCCCUAUAUCUUGAGGGGUAACAAAUUGUAUGACUGGAUUACCCUGAAGUAAUGGUAAUAGUUAACUCAUUACCCAAGCCCAACAAUGGAUUCAAUUUUCAACUUCCAAAAACACCCAACCAAACAUGGGCUAAGUAUAUUUUACAUCUCAUGUUGUUAAUGAAAAAAUUAUUUAUCAUUUUCAAGUUUUUUUAAUAAAGUAUUUGGUCAUUUUUUAAAAAAAUAUAUGAUCAUACACUAAAACUAAAGAACAACCUAUAUAUUAGAGCUUGCUUGUUUGCCAGUAUGAGAUAUAAGCUUGAUAUGUUUAGUUAAAAUUUCUUAUAUAUUGUAUAAGGUAUUAAUAUUAUGUUUGGUUUAGAUGUAUUAAAUUAUUUGUUUUAUAAAUUAAUUAUAGCAGGAGAGUGAAAUUUUGAUAAUUUAAUAUUAAUUUAUAGUAGGAUGAUGAAAUUAUGGUAGUUUAAAAUAUUAAAUAAUAUAUUUAGGAUUUAUAUUACGUAUCCCGCCUAGAAGAUUGUUUACAGAAUCUCAAGAAUCUAUACAAUACAUAUAAGGCCCUAGCUUUAUAAAUGCCUCAUGUUUUGAAGCAAACAUGAUACUCCCUUUACCCCGCUAAAAAUAACUCGUUUCUUUUUUAUACAGAGAUUAAGGAAAAUGUGUAAAUUGGAUAAAGUUGAUACAUAAUUAGGCUAAUUAUUUUGAAUUUCGAUAUUUUUGGGCCACAUUUAAGCCCAAUUCGACGUCUACAUGCUACAUUUAGAGCUAUAUUUGGACUAAAGUAUAUCUGGACCCAAAUGUGAGUCUAUUUAAAACAAUUGAUUAUUUUUACAAGUCUAAAAAAAUUGGCUGCCCCUAAAAUAAGUACCUAAAAAAAAUUAAAACUCACCAUAAUUCUACCAUAAAAAUAGGCCUCUUUCUAACAUUUCAUAAAAUCAAUCCACCAACAAGCACAAAUUAGGAAAGGAAAAAAUAGAGUGGUCACCUUGUUGAUUUGGGAAAGCACUCAUGAGAGAUUCUAAAAUGUUCCUUCUCCCAAACAUCAUCCAGAACAAUGAAAUAUGACAUGCCAUCCAAUUGCUUAUGAAGCAUUUGCUUAAGCUCCUCUUGGACAAAUGGUUUAUCCUUCAUCAACUCCUCCAAAUUCUUCAUUUUCUUAAGCAGCUUGUUUUUGACUUGAUCAGAUCUUUGCAUCUGGAAGAUCAGCUGUUUGAUCGUCUCCCGUGGCGUAAAUUCGCUCGACACCACGACCCAGCCACGGCUGUCGAAUCUACCCACGACGUCGCAGUGGUUGUAUAUUGCUCGGGCAAGUGUAGAUUUUCCUAUCCCACCCAUCCCCUCUAACACCGCAAUCGAAAGCCCCUUCCUGUCCUCAUUAAGAAUUGAUUCUUCUAGCAAUUUUUGCACAUCCUCUUCGACGCCCACCAGGUGUUCGUCGUUUUUCAUAUGAGACAACCGCCGCCGCGAUUCAGCUUGCAAUCUCCACCCCGAGUCUGCCGUCGCCUCCUUGCCAAAAUCUGUAAUGCCAUACCUCUCGCGGCUCUUGUCAAUGGCGUCGAGCCUAGCACGGAUUGAUUCAAUCUCAUCCCCAAUUCUGUCGAGCCGGUACAUACGCUUCGCGAAGCUAGUGCAUCGCUUGAGAAGCCCCUUGCUCGAGUUCUCAACGUUGAUGAGGAACAUCUCGAUGGUAUCUUCGGCAUCCUGAGCCACCUCUCUGAUCUCCGAUAUCCAAUUAUGCACCCUCUUGUCUUCAAAUUGCUUUUUGUUGGCGUCAUCUAGAAAGGAUUGCAUCCUCUUGAGCUCGGCUUUCAGCGACUCCACCUUUCCCUCGACGCCUCGUAGGAAUUUCACCUUCUGGAUGAGCUGAUCGCCCAGCAGUUCCACCAGAGAUGAGAUCGCCGCUUCUGCCAUGUUGUUGUCGUUCGAUCUCUUGAUUUCAGAAAAUUGCUCUUUACUGGUUUAAGUGAAACAUAUAAGUCAGAUUGGAUAUAUGUGAUAGUGCCACUAAUGGGGGCGAGGUUGCAUACAGAAUGCUAUAUAUUCAGAGAACGGAUAAUAACCAAUAAAUCAAUAAAUUAAAUGAAUAAACCAAUAUAAUUGAAGAACAAACUUAUGUAUCUAUUUAAUAUUGUGAAAAUCUCGCCCGGAGGAGUAUUCGAUGGCACACGAAAAUGCCUGUUCAUAUGGAAUGUUGAUUUAUUCGGAGAAAUUAUUGACUUAUUGAUACACAUUCUCCAUUCUAUAUAGCAUUCUCUCGCCACUGACAUUGCGCAAAUAUUUAUGAAAAUCGAAAAUCGAACCGAACCCCCUCACCCCACAUAAAAAAAUGAUUUGAUUAUCGAUUUAAAAAAAAUUCUAUUUUGUCGUAUUUCGAUCUAUUGGGUAUUUCUCUGACUGAAUCAAAUCGAAAUAACCGAAUGAGCACAUUUUAUUUUUCAAAUAAUACUCCCUCCAUCCCUUAUAAAUAUGCAUAGUUGAUCAGGGCACGAGUUUUAAUAAAAAGUUUGUUAAAGUAUUGAUAGUGGAGAAAUGUUAUCACAUAGAGGGUAUUGUUAAAUUGAUUGUGGGUAAAUAAUUUAAGUUAAAAAGGUAAAAUUGUAAAAUAUUAUGUGUGGGGUAGUGUCCAAUACUAGAGUAUGCAUAAAUUUGAACCAAAAAUUAAAGUUAUGCAUAAAUAAGACGGAGGGAAUACUUAUUUCAAAUUAUAAUAGACAAGUCCUAUUAUUUUUUUGUAUUAUGUUUUUUUUAUUAUUAUUAUAGAUCUUGGGCUUGUUGAAGAUCACUUAUUUUGUUACACUAGUAGAUUUUGAAAAUGAUUAAAAUCAAUUUUUUUUUUAUCAUAAAAAAAUAAAAAAUUCGGAAAUUUUUAAAUAAUUAUACUGGUUUGGUUACUGAAAAAUUUCAGUUUGCUUCAAUUAUUUUCUCGUAAUUUCGGUUAUCAAGCCAAAAUCAAACCGAUAACCGAAUACUCAAUCCUAAUUACCACUCUAUCAUUAUCCAACUACUUCCUUCGUCCCACUGCAAUAGGCUCAGUCUUAAUAUAGAAAUGUUUAGGGCUUUAUUAAGUAACAAUAAUGGAGUACUAUUUAGUUUUUUCAUAAGGGAGUACUCUUAAAAUGUUACUUUUUGGUGGACCACACCACAUUUAACUACCAAAAAGUGAAUUUCUUAAUCUCCGUGCCGAAAACAAAUGAGCCUAUUGGCCUGGGACGGAGGGAGUAGUAUUUAUUGUUUUUUUUUAUAUACAACAUGUUGGGGAUAAUGAUUAGAAAGGAUUGAGCGGUGGAGUGAGGGGACUAGUAGAUUUUUGAAAAUUAAUAAAAAUGGUUUGUUUUGGUGAUGGAUAUGAGUUGAUAUAUACAACAUGUGGAUAAGGAGAAUCUUUGUGCAUACUGCGCAUCGGGCUAGAGUAUGGGCUCUGCGAAUAAAGACAACUCAGUUUCAAUCACGGAAUGAUGAAAAUGGAAUUAUUUAAUGUUUUAUUUAUUCAUUAAUUUCAAGAGAUACAUAUCUUGAAUUUUGGAAACGUCGAAACAAAAUGAAAAUCAUACAGGGUGUAAAGUAAGUAAUAUGCCAAAAAAGUCACCAUUUUUUGGAGAGGGACCUGAGCUUAAUUAUUGAGGUCAGUGGUCCACAAAGAUAAAGUAGAAUCAUUUUUUUUAAAUUUCCAUCUAUCCAUAUAUAUAGACACUUACAUCAGAUAUCAGUAGUACUUAGAAUUACUAGAACUCCACAAGCUUUUUAGGACCAUUUCUUUGACAGUUUUUUAAAUUUAUGACAUUUUUUUUUGGACUUGGACAAAUUUUCAAAAAUUAGGCAUAAGUGGGACAAAUUAAGCCUGAUCGCCGAAUUUUUGAUAUUUUGUCCUGCAACUGUAAGCUCAAAAAUAUUUGUCCUACAUUUGCAAUACAGACAAAGUUACGGUCCUAAAAAAACUUUAGGCUCAAUUAAAAUUUAAUUCAUCAUAUUUUAUUUUCUUGCUCAAUGUAUUAUGUUCAUGUUUCAAAGUUUUUUAUUUCCCUUAAAUAUAUUUUCUACUAUUUUAUAUAAAUAUGAUAGAAAAUAUAAUUUGAAGUAAUUUGUCUAUAAUGUAAACUCAAAAAAUAAAAAAACUAUAUAAAAAAUAAUUUUAUACCUUUUAAAAUAAUUUAUAUUAAUACUCCAUCAGUCCACAAAAAAUAGUACGCCCUUUGAAUAUGAGAACAUUCACACAGAAGAUAUUAAGAUUAUGAGUAGUUUGUUGUUAUUAACAUUAUGCUAAAGUUAUAUAUUAUUAAAGAGAUAGCUUAAAAGCAAAAAAUUAAUCAUAAUUUGCCUUAUAUAUUAUAUACUCCGUAUUAUUUACUAAUUUGUUAAGUUUAGGAACUAUAAGAAAAGAAUGUAAAUAAUUCACCUUAAUUUGCCUCAUUGUAUAUGUUAAAUAUUCAUUAUUAGAAUAUUGAAAACAACAUUCCGAUGACAAAUUGUUGUAUUAUUCAUAUUUGGAUAUUGUGUUGCACAAUAUGAUGAACAAUUUGCGAAACCUAAUUGAAAGGCAAAACAUGAAAUGAGAAUUUUAUGCAUAACCAAUAAUAUGAAUACGCUUAUCUUAGGCUGGUUUACAAAAAUAGGUCAAUUUUUUUUUUAACUUGCCGAAAUUUACCAAUUAUUUUAAAAUUUGACCCAAAUGUGACUUAUAAACGCCAAAUUGGGCCCAAAUACAGCCCAAGAACACCGAAAUUUAAAAUAAUUGACCUAAUUUUACAAGCAAAAAAAAGGCAUAUUUUGUACAAACGGGGUGUAAUCGAACCGAGCCGAACCGAAUAGUGGUGUGCUCAAGUUUGGUUUGUUUUGUAUCGAAUUGAAUCCCGAACUUUACUUACCGAAUACUUUGAGGCUCAUGAGGGGCUCACGAGCCUGAUCGAGCCUAUACGAACUUUCUAAAUUUAUAUUUAUAUUCACAAUAUUGAUUAUUUAUAUUAAAAUAAAUUAUUAUAUUCAAAAUAAUAAAAUAUAUUAAUUAUUUUCUUAUAACAAACAAAAUUAAUUAGAGAUUUAAUACAAUUAUUAUUAAUUUUAGUGGAUAAACAUAAGUUGUAUCUACUAAUAAUUUAUAUUUUUCAAUAUGAAUCACUUGANGGAUAUUUUCCAUUAGUAUUUCUGAUGAAUGCAUUCUUCCAGAGCAAUUCCCAGCUCUUCUCGCGAUCUAGAAGUUCCAUCGUGUGCACAUAUUGAUCAUACUUUGUAAUAAUCUUGUUGCGAGUCGUAACCAAUAAUCUACUCAUUUUAUCUGUGAGAGAAGAGGGUAAUUAAGUAUAAGAAUAUGAGUUGAGAGAUUCGGUAUUGAGAUUCGUUAACUCUUACAAUGAACAUGAAUGUUGCUUGAUAGAAUCAAUCGUAUAUAUAAAUUCUACUAAGUAUAUUUUGCAUUUCAUGUUAUUUAUGCAACAAUAUUUAUCAUUUUCAAGUUCUUUUAAUCAAGUAUUGGGUCAUUUGCAAUUUCUAAACUAAUUGAAUUUUUAAAGGGAUAAUUGCAAUUUAGUAUUUUGAAAUAAUUGAUCUAAACUUAUAUAAACAUUAUGAGAUAUGAAAAUAGAAUUCUAUUAACUUAGUGUCUCGUUAAAUAGAACACCAAGAAGAAGAAAAUUACAAGCGAACCUAAAGCCUUUGUUGGUAGUCUUGCGGAUUCUAAUAUAAUUAAUAAUGAUUAUAACUGGUAAUUCUAAAAUUAAAUUGAGAAUACAAUUAAUUAAUAGUAAUUUAAAUGGAGGAAGAACUCUAAUAUCACAACAUUGAUUAUAUUAUUUUAAUGAAAUUAAAUAUAUAAUCCUAAAAUAAUGUGAAUUUUUUUCAGAGGUAUAAUAUUCCAUCCAUCCUCCGAACACAUUCACAAUUUUCUGUUUUAGCACAUUUUACGAAAAUAUUUAUUUUCCACUUUUGAAUACUAUCGCACCACAGGUCCCUUGUUGUAUAUAUGCCUAUUGUUUCAACAUAUUUACAAUUUUACUACAUGGCUCCCUACAAAUUCUUUAUUUUUUAUUCUCAUUUUCUCAACUUAUUCACAACUUUGCCACAUGGCCCGUCACAAACUCCUUAUUUUUAUAUUCCUUAUAUUACUCUUAAAUUCAAUAAUAUAAAAGAUGUACUCUCCUUCGUCUCACAAAAACAUGAACAUUUGAAAGUGGCACGGAUUUUAAAAAAUAUUAGAUAAAAGUGUAUUAUGAAUGGAAAAGGGGUCCCAUCUAUGAAAAGUAGAAAUAAAAAGUAAAGAAAUUAUGAUGGAGGUAGUGUAUUUUCAUGUUUUUGUGAAACGACCAAAAAUGGCAAAAUAUUCAUGUUUUUGUGGACGGAGUGAGUAUGAUAUAUCAGAACACCAAGCACAAGGUACAAAAGGAAAAAUUGAAUGGUUACCUUGUUGAUUUGGGAAUGCACUCAUGAGAUAUUCUAAAUGUUGUUUCUCCCAAACAUCAUCGAGAACAAUGAAAUAUGAUUUGCCAUCCAAUUGCUUAUGAAGCAUUUGUUUAAGCUCCUCUUGGACAAAUAGUUUAUCCUUCAUCGACUCCUCCAAUUUCGUCAUUUCGUCAAGCAGAUCCUUUUUGUCUUGAUCAGACCUUCGCAGCUGGAAGAUGAGCUGUUUGAUCGUCUCUUGUGGUGUAAAUUCACUCGACACUGCAACCCAGCCACGGCUGUCGAAUCUACCCACGAUGUCGCGGUGGUUGUAUAUUGCCCGGGCAAGUGUAGAUUUGCCUAUCCCACCCAUCCCCUCUAACACGGCAAUCGAAAGCCCCUUCCUCUCCUCAUUAAGAAUUGAUUCUUCCAGCAGUUUUUUUACGUCAUCUUCCACGCCCACCAGGUGUUCGUCGUUUUUCAUAUGAGACAACCGCCGCCGCGAUUCAGCUUGCAAUCUUCCUACAUUUACAAAAUUGUCAAAGUUAUGGGCCUAAAAAAGGAAUAGAGGAAAGAAAAUUUUUAAAAAAUUUAAUGUUUAAAUAAAUAUAACUUUUACAUUUUGAAUCAAAUAUUUACAUAAAAUAUAUCAAAUUAAAGCUCUUAUCAUGAUCUUUAAUUUGAUAUGCAUAUUAAAUAUUUUUUAAUAGUCGAAUUUCACAUUUAAAAAGAAACAAAACACAAAAAUAAAACAUAAUAAAGGAUAUAAAAAGAAAAAAUACUUUUAGAAAUAAGGAAUAUAUUUUAGGCCAGUAACUUUGGCCGUUUUGCAAAUGUAGGAUAAUAUUUUUGGGCUUGCAAUUGCAGGACAAAUUGUUUUUUCAGGCUCAAUUUAUCCUACUUAUGUCGAAUUUUUGAAAUUUUUUACUACAAUUGUAAGUCCAAAAAAUUUUGUCCUACAUUUGCAAAAUGGCCAAAGUUACUGUCUUUUCUCAGGGAUUCGUUCACUCUUACAAAGAACAUGAAUACUAAGUAUAUUUUGCAUUUCAAGUUAUGUAUGCAACAAUAUUUAUCAUUUUCAAGUUUUUUUAAUCAAGUAUUGGGUCAUUUAAAAAAAAUUAUAUGAUCAUACACUAAAACUAAAGAAUUAAGGGAAAAUUGUAUGAAAAUACCCCACUUUAAUCCAAAUUUGAUUUUUUGACAAUCUUUUUUUUUUGUUGCAAAAAUUUGAACGAGCUUUCAAUUUGUUGUAAUGUCCGUCCGGAGAUAUCUUCCAUGCAAUUUUUGGUUGCAAUGUCUAUCAUAUCACUACAUAGAUGCAAUGAAAUGAAAGCCUUACAGGAAGNCAUAACCUUUAAAAUUUGAAAAAAAAAUACACAACCUUUCGAUUUUUUCUGAUUUUCGUCACGGGCAUAAAACACUCUCAAAUAGAAGUUGAUUUUAGAGCUUUUGACUUAUAUUUUUUGAUACAUAAGCGUGGGGGAUAAUAAAGGUGCCAUAAUAAAGCCGACGUACACGCUUAGGUAUCAAAAAAACUAAAUCAAAAGCCCAAAAAUCAGUUUCUAUUUGAGAGUAUUUUAUGUCCGUGGGAAAAAUCAGAAAAAAUCGAAAGGUUGUGUAUUUUUUUUCAAAUUUUAAGGGCUAUGGGAAAAAUCAGAUAUUAUUGAAAGUUCGUGUAUUUUACGGUAAAUAUCCCUUCUAUAAAAACAUUCAUUUUUCUUUUUUGAAUAUUAUCGCUUCACAAACCCCAUACUUUUUAUUCCUAUUUUCUCAACUUAUUUACAAUUUUACCAUAUCGCUCACAACAAAUUCUUUAUUUUCGAUCCUCACAACUUUAUUACAUGGCUCGACACAAACUCCUUAUUUUUUUAUUCCUUACAUUACUCUUAAAUUGAAUAAUACUCCCCCAUCCACGAGAGAACUUGCUGACACGGAGUGAUACGGAUUUUAAGGAAAAAGUUGUUGAGUGUAUUGAGAGUGGAGAAAAAGUUAUUGAGUGUAUUGAGAAUGAUGAAAAUGUAUUUUAAUUAGUAUUGUGAGCGGUAAAAACAUGAAAAAUUAAGGAUAAUGAGAUAUUUAUAAGUGAUUAAGUAUAGUCCAAAAAUAGAUAAGAAGUUCUUUUGUGAACGUCCCAAAAAGGAUAAGUAGGAAGUUCUCUCGUGGACGGCGGUAGUAUAAGAGAUGUAUGAUAUAGCAUAACAACAAGCACAAGCUAGAAAAGGAAAAAUUGAAUGGUUACCUUGUUGAUUUGGGAAAGCACUCAUGAGAGAUUCUAAAUGUUCCUUCUCCCAGACAUCAUCCAGAACAAUGAAAUAUGAUUUGCCAUCCAAUUCCUUAUGAAGCAUUUGUUUAAGCUCCUCUUGGACAAACAGUGUAUCCUUCAUCGACUCCUCCAGUUUCUUUAUUUCGUCAAGCAGCUUCUGUUUGUCUUGAUGAGACCUUUGCAGCUGGAAGAUAAGCUGUUUGAUCGUCUCCUGUGGUGUAAAUUCACUCGACACCACAACCCAGCCACGGCUGUCAAAUCGACCCAAGACGUCGCAGUGGUUGUAUACUGCUCGGGCAAGUGUAGAUUUGCCUAUCCCACCCAUACCCUCUAACACCGCAAUCGAAAGCCCCUUCCUCUCCUCAUUAAGAAUUGAUUCUUCUAGCAGUUUUUUCACAUCCUCUUCCACGCCCACCAGGUGUUCGUCGGUUUUCAAAGGAGACAACCGCCGCCGUGAUUCAACUUGCAAUCUCCACCCUGAGUCCGCCGUCGCCUCCUUGCCAAAAUCUUUAAUGCCAUACCUCUCGCGGCUCUUGUCAAUGGCGUCGAUCUUAGCAAGGAUUGAUUCAAUCUCAUCCCCAAUUCUGUUGAGCUGGUACAUACGCUUCGCGAACUUAGUGCAUCGUUCGAGAAGCCCCUUACUCUUCGAGUUCUCAACGUUGAUGAGGAACAUCUCGAUGGUAUCUUCGGCAUCCUGAGCCACCUCUCUGAUCUCCGAUAUCCAAUUUUGCACAUUCUUGUCUUCAAAUUGCUUUUUGUUGGCGUCUUCCAGAAAGCAUUGCAUCCUCUUGAGCUCGGCUUUCAGGGACUCCACCUUUCCCUCGACGCCUCGUAGGAAUUUCACCUUCUGGAUGAGCUGAUCGCCCAGCAAUUCCACCAAAGAUGAGAUCGCCGCUUCUGCCAUGUUGAUGUCGAUCGAUCUCUUGAUUUCAGAAAAAUGCUCUUUUAAGUGUUGUUCAAAGUUGGUAAUGGUUUAAGUAAAAAAAAAAAAGUCAUAUUGGAUAUAUAUGAUAGUGCCGCUAACAGGGUAUGGUUCCAUGGAGAAUGAUAUAUAUUGAGACAGUGAAGAAUAAUGAAUAAAUCAAUAAAUUUUAUGAAUAAACAAUAUAACCGAUGAACAAAUAAAAUGUAUCUAUUUAAUAUGGUAAAAAUCUCACAUGCAUUCAUCAUUCUCUAAAUAUAUAACAUUUUUCAUGUGGAAUCUUUUUCGCCACUAACAUAAAAUAUUUAUAAAAAAAAGAAUUGUUUGAUUAACCAUUAAAACAAAAUCAACGUUUCGAUUUUCUGUCAAUUUGGUAUUUCUAUGACGGAAUCGAAUCGAAAUAACCGAAUUAGCACAUUUUGUUUUUUAAAUAAUAUUUAUUUCAAAUAAAGUUCCUACUAUUUUUUGUAUUAUGUUAUUAUUAUUGUAGAUCUAGGGCUUGUUGAACAUCACUUAUUUUGUUAGACUAGUAGGUAUUGAAAAUGAUUAAAAUUAAUUUAUUUUUUUGCAUAAAAAAAUAAAGAUUCGGAAAAUUUAAGUAACUUAUUAUUGUGGUUUGGUUAACCAAAAUUUCAAUUUGUUUCAAUUUUUUUCUCAUAAUUUCGGUUAUCAAGCCAACAUAGAACGGGAUAACCGAAUACUCAAUCUGAAUUACCACUCAAUUAUUACCUAAUUAAUAUUAGAUUUUUUUUAAUAUUAAAUUUCAAAAAUGGCUUGUUUUGGUGAUGGUGAUGAGUCAUGAGUUGAUAUAACAUGUCGGGCAUAAUGAGAGUCUCUGUGCAUAGUGCGCAUGAUGGAGUAUGGGCCCUGCCCCUGCGAAUAAAGAUCACUUGGUUUCAAUCACCGAAUGAAAAAUGGGAUGUGUUGAUGUUUUAUUUAUUCAUUAAUUUCAAGACAUACAUAUCUUAUAUCAUGGAGACGUCAAAAGAAAAUGAAAAUGCAUUGUCUGAAAAAUGAAAAUCAUACAGGGUGUAAAGUAAGUAAUAUGCCAAAAUAGUCACCAUUUUUUGGAGAGGGACAUGAGCUUAAUUAUUGAGGUCAGUGGUCCACAAAGAUAAAGUAGAUUCAUUUUUGAAAUUUCCAUCUAUCCAUAUACAAAAACACUUACACCAGAUAUUAGGUUUGGUGCAGAUGAUUAAGGUGUAUAACAUACGUAUGACAUUCUAAUAUUUUAUUUGUUAAGAAAUAAUACGACAUACAUGACCGUUUAUAAAUCAAAUGUCCGAAAAUAUUUAUACAUCACAAUUCGUUUUUCCCUAAAAGAAGUUCAUCAAUUAAACCAACGAUCAAGGGGAUUCCAAAAUCUUAUGGCAUUAGAAUUCUAUUUAAUUUAUUGCAUAUUUUAUUUUAAGGUUAUUUUACAGUAUUAUAAUUUAUUUAAUUUAUAUUAUUUAUUUUAAGGUUAUUUACAGUAUUAUAUAUUUAUAAGAAUAUAUNAAUUUAAGGAUAAUUGUGUUAUUUAAAACUAUAAAAUCUAUAAAAAUAUUAUACAUUAUUAUCACUAUUAUGUACUUGUCUUUUAAUAGAAAAUAGCCUAAAAUGGAUGGAAUGCCCAAAAAAAUUUGUUUGCCAUUAUUACUAUGCUUGUCUUUUAUUAUUAUUAUUCAUUCUAGCUUGUAAUUUAUUGAAAAUAUAUAAUUUAUGAAAAUAUUGUUCGUUAUUAUUGCUAUUAUGCUUGUCUACUAAUAAAAAAUGCCUAAAAUGUACGAAAUAACAAAAAAAAAAGUUUGUAAUGUAUUGAAAUUAAUUUGUAAUAUAUUGAAACUAUAUAGUAUAUGAAAAUGUUGUUCUUUAUAAUUACUAUUAUGCUCGUUUUUAAUAAAAAAUGCUUUAAAAAUACAGAAUGUCCCAAAUAUUUUUGUAAUGUAUUGAAACUAAUUUGUUAUAUAUUUAAAUUAUAUAAUCUAUGAAAAUGUUGUUCUUUAUAUUACAGUGGUGAAAAAGUGUUAUACUAAUUAAUAUUGAGAGUUGUGAAAAGUAAAAAGUAAGAGGAUUAUAAGUGGUGGGGUAUAGUCCAAAAAUAGGUAGGAAGUUCUUUUGUGGACGUCCCAAAAAGGCAAGAUAGGAAGUUCUUUCGUGGACGGAGGGAGUAUAUGUUGAUGUUUUAUUUAUUCAUUAAUUUCAAGACAUACAUAUAUCAUGGAGACGUGAAAAGAAAAUGAAAAUGCAUUGUCUGAAAAAUGAAAAUCAUACAGGGUGUAAAGUUAGUAAUAUGCCAAAAUAGUCAACAUUUUUUGGAGAGGGACAUGAGCUUAAUUAUUGAGGUCAGUGGUCCACAAAGAUAAAGUAGAUUCAUUUUUGAAAUUUCCAUCUAUCCAUAUACGAAAACACUUACAUCAGAUAUUAGCAGUGGCUAGUUUGGUGUUUGGUGCAGAUGAUUAAGGUGUAUAAUAUACGUAUGGCAUUCUAAUAUUUUAUUUGUUAAAAAGUAAUACGAAAUACACGACCAUUUAUAAAAUAAAUGUCCAAAAAUAUUAUAUUGAUUUGAGGGAUUCUGUAUAUCACGUAUGGAGGUGGUAUACAUAUAUAAUAUAAUAAUAAUUAUAACUAUUAUUAACUUUAUAUACUAUUAAUAUAUUAUACCAAACAACAUAUUAUAUUUUACAACUAUUUAAAUGCAUUUUACCAAAUAUGAUAUUAAUAUGACACAUAUAGUAAAAGAUACCCCGAUCAAACAUAUAACGCCUUAUCUCAUACCGCGUACGAAAUGAGCCCUAGUAGUACGAUUAGUAGUACUAGGAACCCAAAGUUUUUUUAGGCCUCGUAACUUUGGUUAUUUUGCAUAUGUAGGACAAAUUUUUUCGGGCUUGCAAUUGCAGGACAAAUUCAGUCAUGUAAUUGCAAGCCCGAAAAAAUUUGUCCUACAUUUACAAAACAACUCAAUUAAAAUUUAAUUCAUCAUCUUGGUGUGCAUUCAUAGGAUAGGCGCUUCCCUAUGCAAACUAGGUAUUCUUCAUUGUUGGAUUCAAGAAAAGACAAUGCAAGAGAGCGAGGUUAUAUUAUGUUCACGUUUUAAAGUUCUUUAUCUCCCUUAAAUAUAUUUCCAACUAUUUUAUAUAAAUAUGAUAAAAAAAAACAAUUCAAAAUAAUUUGUCUAAAAUGUAAAUAAAAAAAGAAAAAAGAAAUUAUGUUUUUUUUCAUGUGAUGGUAGCAUCUGAAACUAGCAAUUUGUCUAAAAUGUACAUUACUUUUAUUAUUAGGAGUCAAUUAUAUGUGAAUGCAAUUGCGCAUAGUGCAAAAUAGGGGAAGAAAAAAAGUUUCUAAUAUAUAUGGAGAGAGGUUAUACAUUCAUUGAGUUGGGUUCAAAAUACGUACCCAAUAGAUCAAAAUCUAUGCUAUAUUAAAAAGUCAAAAUUAACUCAAAUUGAUUUCAAAAUUGAGUGGUAAUUUUAUAGUUAUAAUAAAAUUGAAAGUUUAUUUAUAAACUAGUAUAUUUUUUCUUUUAAUUUAUCUUUUUUUAUUAUUUUAUUUGUUUCUAAAAUUGUGUAAUUCGACGUCUAAUUAUAAAUUAUUUAUAUGCAUAUCAAAUUAAUGAUCACAAUAGGAGCUUUAAUUUGAUAUAUUUUAUAUAAAUAUUUGAUUUAAAAUGUAAAAAUCAUGUUUAUUUAAAGAUUAUGGUGCGUUUACUUUGAUGGAUAAAUUUAUUAUGUGAAAAUGAAGAAUAACAAAAAUUUAUGCCUUUAAAUGCCUCCUUUAUUUUCCCACAUUUUAUACACAAAAGAAGUUCACCAUUUUUUCUUCAACAAAAAAAUGCUACUCCUUCCACCCCCAAAUAACUUCCUAAUUUUUCUUUUUGGUUGGUCUCCUAAAAAAAUUUCCUUUAUAUUUUUGGACUAUAACCCACCACUAAUAAUACCACACUUACCCUUACUUUUUCACAUUUUCACCACCUACGAAGUUAUUUGGGCUCGAGGAAGUAGGGAGUACAAUUUUUCAUAUAUAAUAUUGCUAUUAUAUAUCUAGAUAAUGCUAUUUUAACAUAAACAUAAUGUUUUUUUGUAAUAGAAACUGGUGGAGUUUAUAAAUUUUUGUGAGAGAAGAUGGUUUCUUUUUUUGGAACAAGCCAUUAUCAAUGAGACAGACGAAAAAGGAAAGUGAGCCUUUAUCAAUGAGAAUUGAGGGGAGUGGUAUAUUUUAAAUAGCCAAAAUGAAGUUCGUGCUAAUAGUAUUUCAAUAUUGAUUAGUAUAUUGCUAAGAAAUGUUACUUGGAAAAUUUAUAUAACAAUAUAACGAGUUCAAAAUUUUGUAGGCCACUAACAUAGGGCGCUUUGCAAAAUUAGGCCAUAGUUUUUCGGGCUUGCAAAUUUGGGCCAUUUAUUAUUAAUUUCGGCGUAAGUGAGCCACAUUUGGGCCCGAUCGGACUAUUUUGCACAUUAUACGUGCGUGACUUCACAGUUGGAGUCCGAAUGCUAAUGUGGAAUUUUAAUUCAUUCUUUUAUUUGGCAAAUUUAUAUAUAUGUAAAAAUAAAUAAUAAAAUAAUCCAUAAUUAAAAGACAGAAAUAAAAAAUGAAUUAAAAAAAUAUAUUAAAAAUACACAAAUAAUUGCUUUUUCUCGACGACACACGUAUGGUCGAAAUUAAAUUGCAGAAAUAUAUAUGUUCGUCAAGAUAUCCUAAUGCACCGUAUAAAAAAAUAUAAUACAUAAUACAUAUUUUCCUCAAGAUAACAAUAAUUAUUUAUAUAUUUAUAAAAAGACAGCUUAUACUAUAUAAUAGGAAGCACAAAGAAAAGAUUCAUGACCAAUCACAUUAAAUAGUAGGCCAUAUCGAUGUGAAGCUUAAACCAUAUGCUUUGUAAGCAAUAAGCUACUUGGUUUGGUCCACUCUUCUCUUUCAACAAGGAGACAUUCACUAUUAACAACUAGCUAAUUUGUGGCUCUAAUACCAUGAAUAAAUGUAAAAUAUCAUACUCACUCCGUCCACAAAAAAAUAGUCAUAGAAGAGGACGACACGGGUUUUAAUGAAAAUGGUUGAGUUUAAUUAUUGUGAGUGGAGAAAUAGUCCCACUAAAACAAUAGUAUUGAUAAUGAUAAUUAAAUGUAUUGUGAAUGGGGAUAAGGGCCCACCAUGUGAUAGAAAGUUGUCAAAAGUGAAAAGAGACUAAUUUUUGCGGAAGUCCCAAAAUGGCAAAAAGAGACUAUUUUUUGUGGACGGAUGGAGUAUAACGAAUUAUAACUAAUUAUACAUCCUUAUGGCCUUGAUGUGCCCCCACAGAUUCUUCGCAUCCAGAUUCUCGCAUUUAUGGAUCCGGAGAAGUUUGAGGUGCGGCAUUCCACCUUCUUCUAUAUCGAUACUUCUCAACUCAGACAUGUUCCGGAGGGAGAGGCCCUCGAGGCGGGGGAACCCGUCACGCAACACUUUCAUGCUCCGAUGCUCGUAAGCAUAUUCAGAUAACAUGAGAUACUGCAGCUUCGGCAGCUUACCCAAUUCCGGCAUCGGAUCCUUAAUUAGCUUUGCAUACUCCAACGUAAGGUGAGUAAGAUUUGGAGGGAAUUUACUCGCAUCCGGACAUCCAUGCAUCUUACCGUGUAGUUUGAGUUUUGUGAUGCUGCCGAGCUGGGGAAUGAUGUUUGAGUUGAACAACAAUGAGUUGCAUUUUAG
rnacentral:lncRNA from 1 species